rnacentral:misc_RNA from 1 species
AUGAUGUAGAUCAGACGAAAGGAAGUCAAAAAUUUGACUCUUUAAAAGAUACGGCGAAAAUAAAAGAUAGAAAUAUAAAUAAAUAGAUAGACUUAAUGAAAAAUACCGAAAACUUAGCAUUUAGACCCUUCUCUAGCGAAUUAUGCGCGUUUACUAUUUAGCAUAUUCCUUGAUGUUUUGCAAAGUACAAAUUUGUGAAAUCUUAUAUAUCAGAAAAUAAAGUUCAAAUUUUAAAGAUAUAAAUAUGCCAGACGCAAUUCAUGAACAAAUUAUGAGUUUGCCUCUGCAAACAACUCAUCAACCAACUAUUGUGUCCAGAAUGCCACCAUUUGCACCUCAACCAGAUUAUAUAAGACCAUCCGAAAGUAUUUGUGGAACAAGUGCUGGUCGAAGUACAAGUACAGUCAUGUCCUCAACAGAUUGUGACAUUCAUGAAGUUUGUUAUUACUUUCAAAAAAUUUUAUUUAUUACUGCAAUUCUCACAGGAACAGCAUUGGUUGUAGCAGGAUCAAUAAUGCAUGCACAAAAUGGAGAAUUGCUAGUGUUUGUAUAUAUUGGUGUUCUUUUAAUAGCAGUGAAUUCUUUAUUAUUAUUAACACUUCAUUAUGUUAGGAAAAAGAAAAAACAUAGAUCAAGAAUGUCACGUCCAAUUCACUACAAUCCAGUUUCAACAACUAUUCCACCACUUCAUGUGGCAACUGCUGCUGAUGUUUCACAAAAUGUUAUUCAGCAUAGUAAUCAACAAGUAUGCACAGAUUGUCAUACUGUUCAGUCACCAACAGAAUCUCAAGCUAAAUCACAAUUGACUGUACACAGUUCUGUACAUAGUCACCAUCAUAGACAGUCUAGACAUAGAGCAAAUAGAUCAUUACCAUCUGCAAGAAACUGCCAACAACAUCCAACAAUUUCUCAAUUUUCUGCUGUGAGAAAUGAAAGAAUUCAAGAUUUAUCAGAUCUUCCUCCUAGUUAUGACGAAUUAAUACGAUAUGGUCAUUUGCCUCAAGCUAAUACAACAGUACAUCUUAUUUGAAGAAUAUUAGAUAAUUCUUGAAAGUACAGGAUAGAAUUCAAGAAAUUUUGUUAUGAGUUCAUAAUGAAUUGUAUAACUGAAAUUCAAUGACGAUCUGAAUGUAUGAAAAUUUUCAUUGUUUCAUUAAUUCAAAUAUGGAUGGCGCAGGCAUGAUUUUCUGAUGGUAAAUGAUAUUUUUUAUAAAUGUUUUUCAAAAAACUUGCAAUUUAACUCAUCUGUAAAUCAUGCUAAAGUGAACAUACUAAACAAUAAAUUUUAUAAGUUAAUGAUAGCAAAAAUCUAUAUAUGAAAUCUAUAGAAUUUUUCUUUUUUAAAUCCAAAAAGUAGUGC